rnacentral:rRNA from 1 species
GUGUCAGCCGCCGCGGUAAUACGGAGGUGGCAAGCGUUGUUCGGAUUUACUGGGUGUAAAGGACAUGUAGGCGUCUUAUUAAGUCGGAUGUGAAAUCCCUUGGCUCAACCAAGGAACUGCAUCCGAUACUGAUAAGAUUGAGUACGGGAGAGGUAAGCGGAAUUCCGGAAGUAAGGGUGAAAUCUGUAGAUAUCCGGAGGAACACCAUUAGCGAAGGCGGCUUACUGGUCCGAUACUGACGCUGAAAUGUGAAAGCUAGGGGAGCAAACAGGAUUAGAUACCCUGGUAGUCCUAGCCGUAAACGAUG